CAACUGCUUUGUGACACUAGUUUAGUAUAGUCAAUGGCCAGCGCGUGCGUAGACAAUGCCAGUAGUAUCCAGCUGCAGACCCGCAGCACCAGCAGUUUCAGAACAGCAUCGCCAGAACCGCAGCCACAGAACGGAAGUGAGGGGCGGAGUUAUUGACAACGAGAUAAGCAUGGUGGAGAGCACGGUGAUUUGUUUGUAAUGUUUUUGCCAUUAUGUGGUGAAUAAUUAGCGUAUAUAUUAAGUUAAGCGUUUAUCUGCUAAAUACUGAAUCUGUGCAUAGCUUUAUCAUCUUAUUGAAGCUUGAAUUUGUUGUCAUGCUUUAUUGUACAGAAAAAAAUUUCUGCGGACUGUUCGGUUACUUUUCGGAUGGCGUGUUGUAAAUGGGCAUUGCGAUGAAGUUUUGAAGACGUUUAAUAUUUAUGAAUAUAAUAGUUUGUUCCAUUUCUUCUGUUAUAUGCAUUGUUUGUGAGUUAAUGUUACCUUACCAUUGAGUUUUUUAAUCGCAUUUGUCAAAGUUGAGAUAAUUGUGUGGUGCUUUUUUUUAUUUUUUUAUUUUUUAUCUCUUGUAGAGACUUAAAACGAUUCAGAGAGGUGACGCAUUACCUCAGCUGCAACAGUAAGUGUUGCAGCAAUUACCACUGCCCUUUUUGCUCGGCCAGCGUGUUGGUCAAAUUAAAAAGUCAUCUUCAAAGCCACUUCAACAAGGCCAUGGAGUAAGAUGACAGCCAAAAUUGCUCCUGGCACAUGGAUUGCUACUGAAAAACAAGGAUGUCCCCCAACAAAUUGGUGGUGUGGACUGUGGAGUCUUCAUGUUGAUGUAUGCUCUACAUCUUGUUUUGGGAGCACCUUUUGAUUUUACAUCUGAUAUGGUGGACUCUUAUUCUUCUGGAGAACUUUGGGGUUUUCUAUGAAAGUAGAGAAACCUUCAAGAGGCCCUUCCAAGUGGAGAACAAGCUACGCUUAACAGCAGUGAGGAGCUCCCAGUAAUCCGACACAUGACAGAAGCUGUGAAAUGGCUCCAUUCCAACAGACAUCUGCUCAGGGGCCCAGUGGAAGAGCCUCUUUUCCUUACAAUGGAUGAAGAGGACAAGGAAAAGGCCCUAAACAAUCUCCUGGAACAAUCAGAAGCUUCCAAAGAGCCCUUCACAUUUCAUUUUGUGUUCAAGGAUGACAUGGAUUUAUUUUUGCAGGAAUGUCAUGACAAAAUGGGCCUAAGAGUGAAUUGUUCAUUUGAGGAAUUUUAAUUUAAUUAUUUGUUGUAUAAAGUUUGAUUGUUUCUUUUAAAAUUAUUAUAAUUGUUUUUAUUUUAUAAUAGUAUCUAGUUGUAUUGUAGUUAUAUUUUUAUUGAAAUGUUUUAGUUUUCAUAUAGAAAAGUGCAUGCUGCACAAGUUCUUGGCUUUGGAAUAAACGUUUAUUUUGAAUGUUGUGAUUAAAGUAUAU